rnacentral:rRNA from 1 species
GGCGAACGCUGGCGGCGUGCCUAAUACAUGCAAGUCGAACGAGAGCGACCGGUGCUUGCACUGGUCAAUCUAGUGGCGAACGGGUGAGUAACACGUGGGUAACCUGCCCAUCAGAGGGGGAUAACAUCCGGAAACGGAUGCUAAAACCGCAUAGGUCUUCGAACCGCAUGGUUUGAAGAGGAAAAGAGGCGCAAGCUUCUGCUGAUGGAUGGACCCGCGGUGCAUUAGCUAGUUGGUGAGGUAACGGCUCACCAAGGCCGUGAUGCAUAGCCGACCUGAGAGGGUGAUCGGCCACAUUGGGACUGAGACACGGCCCAAACUCCUACGGGAGGCAGCAGUAGGGAAUCUUCCGCAAUGGACGCAAGUCUGACGGAGCAACGCCGCGUGAGUGAAGAAGGUUUUCGGAUCGUAAAACUCUGUUGUUAGAGAAGAACAAGUGCUAGAGUAACUGUUAGCGCCUUGACGGUAUCUAACCAGAAAGCCACGGCUAACUACGUG